rnacentral:lncRNA from 1 species
AGAACUCGGCAUAACGAUGCUCGGAACACCUAUUCGAGUAACCACAAUCACAAACAGAAGCCCGACAACACUGUUGCCGCCAUGACCAACUCCGGAAAAAAGGGACACCGCAGAAAUGAUGAAGGGCCAACCUUCACUGAGCUACUCAAAAAGCAGUGCCCAUGGCAUCCGACUAGCAAGCACUCGGUGAUAGACUGCUACAGCAUGCGCCGAGUGAUGCAAGACUUACCCGCACCACCACCCC